AGAUAAAUACCCAGUAACUGCUGAUUUGGCAGGAGGAUUGUUAAUUCCUGUUUGGAGUUCAGUAAGGAGCAAACAGCACGGGAGUAUGGGUGGUCCGUAUAGGCCCUGGAGCUGGUCGUAGGAGUGCUGGAGGAAGUGCUGAAGUCUGGAAAAGGGUAGCGGCUGGGGCUGUUCGAAGACUGAAGGGGGAAUUCACAGCCACAGCAGCAGCUGCUGCUGCAGCUGCUAGCGGAUUUGCUUUUGAAACUAGCAAGAACUCCACUUCACAAAGUUUGCCCUGUCAGUUGGAAAUGUGACCAGAGCCAUCCUGAAACUGAGCAGAAUGAAAUGAGAGAUGAUUUUUUUUAUUGUUAUUGUUUCA